rnacentral:rRNA from 1 species
UACGGGGGGGGCAAGCGUUGUUCGGAAUUACUGGGCGUAAAGGGCUCGUAGGCGGCCAACUAAGUCGGACGUGAAAUCCCUCGGCUUAACCGGGGAACUGCCUUCGAUACUGGCGAUCUUGAGUCCGGAAGAGGUGAGUGGAACUCCUAGUGUAGAGGUGGAAUUCGUAGAUAUUAGGAAGAACACCAGUGGCGAAGGCGGCUCACUGGUCCGGUACUGACGCUGAGGUGCGAAAGCGUGGGGAGCAAACAGG